ACCUCACCCUGACCUCCUUACAAACAGAAACACAUUGGAAUCAGGUCUACUAUCUAGAAGACUAUUUUUCAGAUGCAAUAAUUUAUCCAUCCUUUCAGCCAUUUUGAAAAGCCAUCUCUCGUUGCCAAACGAAGUGCUUCUAAAGUGUGCCUUUUCAGAAGAUCCCAAACCCUAUGUCCUCUCCAGGGAGAACAUUUCAAGCUUAUCAUUUCUCCAAGACAAACCUCAAAGGCAGAACUCCUCUCUCCAUGAGGCAGGUGUGAUUUAGCAGAACGUAGAAGAAAAGAGGAUUAUCAUUGUAAAACAGAGGUGCUGUCCCUAAUGACGUCACAAGGCAACAUUGUAUUUUUGAGACCUAGGAAUGACACAGACAGGGCCACUGUUAUUUCAGCAGCCUCAGAGAGACAAUGGCUGGGACAACAGUCCACGUGCACCACGAUGCACAAAAGAGCAUUGUUUUCUUCUUUACCUGCAAUGCUAAAGGUGGAAAAAUAAAACAGAAGAAAGUAAAAAUGAAGAGUACACAGGCGGCCCAGGAAAAGGUGGAAAAGGAGAGGGAGAGUGGAGAAAAUUGGAGG